rnacentral:rRNA from 1 species
GGGCCCGCACAAGCAGCGGAGCGUGUGGUUUAAUUCGAUGCAACGCGAAGGACCUUACCAAGGUUUGACAUGCUAGAAGUAGAAACUCGAAAGAGGGACCACCUGUAUCCAGUCAGGAACUAGCACAGGUGCUGCAUGGCUGUCGUCAGCUCGUGCCGUGAGGUGUUAGGUUAAGUCCUGCAACGAGCGCAACCCUCAUUGCUAGUUAAUUUCUCUAGCGAGACUGCCCGUAUAACGUGGAGGAAGGUGGGGAUGACGUCAAGUCAGCAUGGCCCUUACAUCUUGGGCAACACACACGCUACAAUGGAUGAUACAGAGGGUUGCCAAGGAGCGAUCCGGAGCUAAUCCCUAAAAUCAUCCUCAGUUCAGAUUGUAGGCUGCAACUGCCUACAUGAAGGAGGAGUUGCUAGUAACCGCAGGUCAGCACACUGCGGUGAAUACGUUCUCGGGCCUU